UGCAGUCGAACGAUGAACCACUUCGGUGGGGAUUAGUGGCGAACGGGUGAGUAACACGUGGGCAAUCUGCCCUUCACUCUGGGACAAGCCCUGGAAACGGGGUCUAAUACCGGAUACGAGCCUCCAUCGCAUGGUGGGGGUUGGAAAGCUCCGGCGGUGAAGGAUGAGCCCGCGGCCUAUCAGCUUGUUGGUGAGGUAAUGGCUCACCAAGGCGACGACGGGUAGCCGGCCUGAGAGGGCGACCGGCCACACUGGGACUGAGACACGGCCCAGACUCCUACGGGAGGCAGCAGUGGGGAAUAUUGCACAAUGGGCGAAAGCCUGAUGCAGCGACGCCGCGUGAGGGAUGACGGCCUUCGGGUUGUAAACCUCUUUCAGCAGGGAAGAAGCGCAAGUGACGGUACCUGCAGAAGAAGCGCCGGCUAACUACGUGCCAGCAGCCGCGGUAAUACGUAGGGCGCAAGCGUUGUCCGGAAUUAUUGGGCGUAAAGAGCUCGUAGGCGGCUUGUCACGUCGAUUGUGAAAGCCCGAGGCUUAACCUCGGGUCUGCAGUCGAUACGGGCUAGCUAGAGUGUGGUAGGGGAGAUCGGAAUUCCUGGUGUAGCGGUGAAAUGCGCAGAUAUCAGGAGGAACACCGGUGGCGAAGGCGGAUCUCUGGGCCAUUACUGACGCUGAGGAGCGAAAGCGUGGGGAGCGAACAGGAUUAGA
rnacentral:rRNA from 1 species